AGUGAACGCUGGCGGCGUGCUUAACACAUGCAAGUCGAACGAGAACGGGUUAUAGCUUGCUAUAAUUGUCAGCUAAGUGGCGCACGGGUGAGUAAUGUAUAGGUAAUAUGCCUCUUACUAAGGGAUAACAAAUGGAAACGUUUGCUAAUACCUUAUACUCCUUAUUAACAGAAGUUAAUAAGGGAAAGAUUUAUUGGUAAGAGAUUAGCCUGUAUUGUAUCAGUUAGUUGGUGAGGUAAUGGCUUACCAAGACUAUGACACAUAACUGGUUUGAGAGGAUGAUCAGUCACACUGGAACUGAGACACGGGCCAGACUCCUACGGGAGGCAGCAGUGGGGAAUAUUGCACAAUGGACGAAAGUCUGAUGCAGCAACGCCGCGUGGAGGAUGACACAUUUCGGUGCGUAAACUCCUUUUAUAUGAGAAGAUAAUGACGGUAUUAUAUGAAUAAGCACCGGCUAACUCCGUGCCAGCCGCCGCCGUAA
rnacentral:rRNA from 1 species